UACGAAGGGGGCUAGCGUUGCUCGGAAUCACUGGGCGUAAAGGGUGCGUAGGCGGGUCUUUAAGUCAGAGGUGAAAUCCUGGAGCUCAACUCCAGAACUGCCUUUGAUACUGAAAGUCUUGAGUAUGGGAGAGGUGAGUGGAACUGCGAGUGUAGAGGUGAAAUUCGUAGAUAUUCGCAAGAACACCAGUGGCGAAGGCGGCUCACUGGCCCAUUACUGACGCUGAGGCACGAAGCGUGGGGAGCAAACAGG
rnacentral:rRNA from 1 species